AGCCAAGAAAAUGUUUGUCUUAUUUAUAUAUUUAUUCAUGCAUUUAGCUAAAAAUUUUUUUUGAGGCUACAUAAUCCAUACACAAGUUACAGAAUUCAAAGUGUAUACUGUGAAAACCUUUCUCUUAUUACUAGCUGCUACUACUCUGAAAUGCUCUCUACUCUGGAAGCCACCAUCAGCUUUAUUUUAUAUCCUCAGGAAAUCAUUUUCACGUAAGGGAGUGGCUGUUUAGAUUUGCAUUUUAAGUAGCCGGCUCUGAUCAAGGUGCCCACUGUAGACAGAAGAUAGGCUUUAUGGAGAAGUUGUGGGAGAGGGUGAGAGGCAACGCUAGGAAUGUCAGGGAGAGUGUGUUAUUUUUUUUCUUUCUAAAACAAUUGACUACAAGUGUGCUAGAAGAUCCCAUAAGUGCACAUAAGCACAGUUCAUUUGGUUGAGCAGUUCAGAUUUCCUGUAAGACACAAGGAAGGCAGUAUAGCAAGGCGGUUAAGAAUACAAUACCGACUUCAGACCUGAGGGACCUGGGCAUUGUCUCUGCUCUGUGGCCAAGUCUGUGCUCUCUUUGCUAAUUUGAACUUUAGUUUAUUUCUUAUAUAGAGUGGGGCUAAUGAUACCCACCUCGACGUGUUUGUCACAAUGGUGUAUGUGCUAAUGCUGGUAAAACUUUCAUAUAAUUAUGCCUAUGCUUUAAAGUCAGAGCUAGAAUCAGAGUUGUGCUUCACGGUUGAAUUUCAAAAUGCUUAAAGUCCACUUCUAGUCACCAAUCAUUACAAUGACGAAAGCUCACAUCUUGUGAUACAGUAUUUAAGAAUAACAGCUUGCCUUGUGCCUGGCACUGUGCUGAGUGCUUUGGAGUCAUUGCCUUUUUUUGUUUCUUUUCUUUUCUUUAUGUCCCCUUCUCCUGGUAUAUUCACAUGUGCACAUCUGGCAGGAUCUGGGGUGAAUCUUGGGCUCCAGGGUCUGGAAUCUUUGGAAGAAUUAAUUUGCAAGAUUGCAACAGCCGAGAAUCAGAGCGAUACCUUGGAAGCUUUGGCUGCCAAAAUAAGACACUCUAAGCAGGUGGUGGAAGACUUUAAAUGGAAUGGACUCCUCACCACAGUUUUCGAACACAUGGCAUAAAUUUUUCUCACUCCUGUGUGUUCGAAUGAAUAAAUGAAAUCUGAACACAUCUUCCUAUGUAAGGCUACACUGACCAGGAAAGCAUUUUCCCUUGGAAUCCUGUUCAGUAUUCUUCGUUACUGGUUACCUCCCAGGAGAAGUUUGUCAGAGGAGCCAGGAGGCCUCCCAAGUCUCAUUAGCAUAUUGCCUUUGGCACCAACACAGGAAGCUUAAUUUCCCAAAGAACGGUGACUUCCAUUAAAGCAGGU
rnacentral:lncRNA from 1 species